ensembl:ncRNA lncRNA:CR45378 long non-coding RNA:CR45378
CCUGACCUAUCCUUCAAAUUCCCAUUUCAAAUCCUAAAUUUUCCUUUAUGUGCUUCAGUCGAUUCAGAAAUGGGCCUCCCCAUAAUGGGAGCAAAUGACUCCCCCAGUAGACCGUCUUAUCUCGCCCUCAACAACAUCACACACCAUCCACAACACAGAACACAAUAUCACCGCUGGCGUGUUGAGAGUUGCUCCACCGAAUUCUCCAGAGAAUGCCCCGAGCGAGGAAGAGAACUCAGGUGUUCACGACUCUCUAGAGAGAGGGAGAGACCCCGAGACCGAGGCGGAGGCAAAACAAGAACAUGAUAUAUACAACAAUAUGAUGUGUGGAUGCUGUAUGCUGGAGAGGACCACACCACAUUAGUGAGUGGGUCUGUAUCUGUGUGGCGGCGACUCUCCCAUACGAAAACCUGCUCCACCACCAUUUGCAGCUUGCAAUGCGCCGCUCCAAGUUUCGCAGAUGCAGCGCAGAUGAGAUGACGAUGAUGACGAUGCUCUUGAGUUCGGACCAACAACAUCCAGCCAUCCAACCAUCCAACCACCUCCAACCAGCCAGCCAACCGACCAACCGACCAAACGACCGAGGCGACCGACCAUGUUUCCUGAUGCGAGGCGAGGCGAUAGUUUAUCGCCAAUUUUCGUGCCGUGCAGAGGUGAACGCGGACCAAAAACGUGCGAAAGGAAAAGCACUGCCCAGAUGCGAGAGAGCCCAGCUCCGGCUCCCUAUCGUACCCGUAGUAUCUCGCCUCCGUGUAACCCGAAUCCGUACACCCAACGGCUAGCGACACCCCUAAUUCAAGGUUGACGUUGUGACUUGGUCGUCCUUCCUCGACGUUCAGCCACCGUUCACUUGUUUUUUGUUUGCAUCAGCUCUUUUUUGGCUGCCGUCGGUUCUUUUUGGUAGGGACAAGGAUGAUUUUGAGGGGCUGAGCUAAGCUGAGCCGAGCCACCUCCCGAAAACUCCCCCCUAAAACGGCCAUGCGCGUUAACGGUAAAUAAUGGCCGCCAUCUUGGCCCAAACGGAAUGUGCAAAUAUGUCUAUAUAAUCCGCAAGUGUUUGUGUCUCUGUGAGAGUGCGUGUGACCACAUCAAAUCAAAGAUAAAUAGCUGAAAAGCUAUCGCCGAAAAUAAAUAGUCUCGCAUCAGGGUGGGUCAAGUUCCAUAGUAGGACGAAUGAGAGAUCAAUCGCAGGGGCGGAAAGAAUUCUAUCGGCAUAACUUUAAUCCAAUUGAUUUGUUUAAAAUUUAAUU